rnacentral:rRNA from 1 species
AUUGAACGCUGGCGGCAGGCCUAACACAUGCAAGUCGAGCGGAGCGGCGGACGGGUGAGUAAUGCCUAGGAAUCUGCCUGGUAGUGGGGGAUGACGUCCGGAAACGGGCGCUAAUACCGCAUACUAUCAGAUGAGGCUCUGUCGGAUGAGCUAGUUGGUAGGGUAAAGGCCUACCAAGGCGAAGGUACGUAACUGGUCUGAGAGGAUGAGCAGGCACACUGGAACGGAGACACGGCCCAGUUUCCUACGGGACGCAGCAGUGGGUAAUACUGGACAAAGGGCUGAAGCCUGAUCCAGCCAUGCCGCGGGUGUGAAGAAGGUCCUCGGCUUGUAAAGCACUUUUCGUCGGGAUGCGUUACCUGCAGAAUAAGCACCGGCUAACUUCGUGCCAGCAGCCGCGGUAAUUC